rnacentral:rRNA from 1 species
GACGAACGCUGGCGGCGUGCUUAACACAUGCAAGUCGAACGCUGAAGCUCAGCUUUUGUUGGGUGGAUGAGUGGCGAACGGGUGAGUAACACGUGAGUAACCUGCCCCCUUCUUUGGGAUAACGCCCGGAAACGGGUGCUAAUACUGGAUAUUCACUGGUCUUCGCAUGGGGGUUGGUGGAAAGGGUUUUUCUGGUGGGGGAUGGGCUCGCGGCCUAUCAGCUUGUUGGUGGGGUGAUGGCCUACCAAGGCUUUGACGGGUAGCCGGCCUGAGAGGGUGACCGGUGACAUUGGGACUGAGAUACGGCCCAGACUCCGACGGGAGGCAGCAGUGGGGAAGAUUGCACAAUGGGCGCAAGCCUGAUGCAGCGACGCCGCGUGAGGGAUGGAGGCCUUCGGGUUGUGAACCUCUUUCGCUCAUGGUCAAGCCGCAACAAUGGUUGUGGUGAGGGUAGUGGGUAAAGAAGCGCCGGCUAACUACGUG